rnacentral:rRNA from 1 species
CGCCCAACAGCUAGCCCAACUAAUAAAUUUCAACAAACCCCUGUUAAUAACCCCUAAGUACCCUAGUAUUUAAGUUAAACAA